rnacentral:rRNA from 1 species
ACCAGGUUGAUUCUGCCUGACGUAGACGCUAUUCCCUAAGAUUAACCCAUGCAUGUUUUUGACAUUUGAAAAAUGGACUGCUCAGUAAUACUCACUUUAUUUUAUGUACAUUUGAAAUUAACUACGUUAAAGUGUAGAUAAGAUGUGUACAGUAAGAGUGAGACCUAUCAGCUAGUUGUUAAGGUAAUGGCUUAACAAGGCAGUGACGGGUAACGGUAUUACUUUGUAAUAUUCCGGAGAAGGAGCCUGAGAGACGGCUACUAAGUCUAAGGAUUGCAGCAGGGGCGAAACUUGACCUAUGGAUUUUAUCUGAGGCAGUUAUGGGAAGUAAUAUUAUAUUGUUUCAUAUUUUAAAAGUAUAUGAGGUGAUUAAUUGGAGGGCAAAUCAAGUGCCAGCAGCCGCGGUAAUACUUGUUCCAAGAGUGUGUAUGAUGAUUGAUGCAGUUAAAAAGUCCGUAGUUUAUUUUUAAGAAGCAAUAUGAGGUGUACUGUAUAGUUGGGAGAGAGAUGAAAUGUGACGACCCUGACUGGACGAACAGAAGCGAAAGCUGUACACUUGUAUGUAUUUUUUGAACAAGGACGUAAGCUGGAGGAGCGAAGAUGAUUAGAUACCAUUGUAGUUCCAGCAGUAAACUAUGCCGACGAUGUGAUAUGAAGUUAUUUGUAUUACAUAAUAGAAAUUAGAGUUUUUUGGCUCUGGGGAUAGUAUGAUCGCAAGAUUGAAAAUUAAAGAAAUUGACGGAAGAAUACCACAAGGAGUGGAUUGUGCGGCUUAAUUUGACUCAACGCGAGGUAACUUACCAAUAUUUUAUUAUUUUGAGAGGAUUUUUAAUCUGAGAAUGAUAAUAGUGGUGCAUGGCCGUUUUCAAUGGAUGCUGUGAAGUUUUGAUUAAUUUCAACAAGACGUGAGACCCUUUUAUAUAGACAGACACAAUCAGUGUAGGAAGGAAAGGAUUAAAACAGGUCCGUUAUGCCCUCAGACAUUUUGGGCUGCACGCGCAAUACAAUAGAUAUAUGAUCUUUAUGGGAUAAUAUUUUGUAAGAGAUAUUUGAACUUGGAAUUGCUAGUAAAUUUUAUUAAAUAAGUAGAAUUGAAUGUGUCCCUGUUCUUUGUACACACCGCCCGUCGCUAUCUAAGAUGAUAUAUGUUGUGAAAUUAGUGAAAACUACUUGAACAAUAUGUAUUAGAUCUGAUAUAAGUCGUAACAUGGUUGCUGUUGGAGAACCAUUAGCAG